ACCCUUCCUCCUUUACUUGGUGGAGCCGCUGCUUGUAUACUGGAAGCAGGGUCAGAGGAAUGGGGCAGGGGACAAAGCGGGGUGAGUGGGGACAAUUGCCCUCACAUGAACCACAGCCCACAAAUUCCCAGCUUUCUUCCUCUUCUCCCACCUCUUCCUCUUUUUAAAAAAGAGUUAAGUUUCUAGCAUUUGCAGAACCUAAGAUAUGAGACGAAAUGUACAGGCACUAGGCUUCCCCCUCCCACCCACCCCCCCCAACAAAAUCUUGGUUUCAAUCAUUUUGUGUAUGAGAAAUUAGCCUACUCCCCCCCCGCCCCCGAACUUCUAGUAUUUUACUUUGAUAGCCCCACCUUUUUACAAAGGGCAUUUGGAAGAGGUUUUUAAAGAAAUCUCAGCAGCCCGGGGGAGGGAGAAAUCCCCCAACACCUGGCUCUAUCAAAUCUCUUUACAGGGGGAAAUUGGGACAUUUUACAUACAAACUUGGUAGGCCAUCUAUUGAUAGCGGCAGGAAUCUCAGUGGCAAGAUUUUGGAAAACCUAAGGUUUAAACAUAGUCAAAUAGUUAAAAAAAAUAUGGGGAGGGUUUGUUCUUGUUUGUUUUCUGGGUAUGUAUUUUGUGUUCUUAUUUUAUCAUUUUUUGUUGUAAACUGCCCUGUUCUCUUCUGAUGAAAGGCAAUAUACAAAUUUAAUAAAUAAUUUAAAUUAAAAACAAAACAAAACACAAGAAGCCUUGGGAAAUCAAGUUAACUGAGAAAUUGACAAAAAGUUUGUUUUGCCAGUGGUUAAAAAAGUGACACACAUUCUUGGCAUAUUGCUGACCUUGUAUUACAUACACUGAUUAAAAAAAAGAUACUGUUAAAACCUUGCCAUUGCGUAGAAGCAACAUCAUCUGUAUUGUGUAAUUUAAAAUUUUACUCUCAGUAAAAAGAACUAUGCAGACUGUGGCUAUGUAUGCGUGUGUAGGGGCCAAAGAGAGUGAGUCUAUUGGUCAUCGAUUAAUUUUUAUAUUACUGUAUUUUGUACUCUUUGCAACAUGUUUGGCUUUAUGUUUGGGGUAUGUGUGUCAGAACCAAGCUACCUGUGAUCCAAUGGGUCAGUUAGUCAAGGGGGCAGCUGCCCCCUGGCUACGCCCGUCUGUGUGUGUGUGUGUGUGUGUAUCUUCACACCCACCCACCCCUUCUGUUUUGUUUCCAGCUGCUUUGGAGGUGAAGACUAGUCCUUCUCCUGUAAUAGGCCUGGUACACAACCCAGUUGUGCUGCAUUGUAACUUUACAGUUCAGGAGAGCGUCAGAAAAGAAGACGUAGCUCUGAAAUGGGCGGUGAAGACUGUAUCUGGAGAAGAGAGGGCAGUGUUUUUGUUUGAUGGGAACCACACAGCAGGUUACCGGCACGGGCUCUUAGUGAAUGUUGAGUUACUACCCCAUGGCAUUGCAUCACUCACCUUGUCGGAUGUGACAUUAAGGGACGAAGGGAUUUACACGUGCACUGUGCUGGUAACUCCGCAGUAUGGAAAUGGAAAGAUCCAGCUUAAAGUCAGAGCUCAGCCUGCUGUGCUGCUGCCGCCCCAAAGUCUCCUAGCUGCUGCAGAAGGAGAGAAGACAUUUUCUUGCAAUGUUCAUGACUUCUACCCCCAAGCAAUUAACAUCUCUUGGCUGGUCAGGAAACAAGGCAGCGUACGCGAAACACCACUAUCCUCAGAUAUAUGCACAGGGGCGCCAUCUUCUCGAGGCCGUGAUGGUUUGUUUGCUGUGCUGAGUCGUGUCACCCAAAUGGUGUCUGAGGCUGAUAAUGGUUCCUUAUAUAUCUGUGAAGUCCAGCACGAGUCCCUGGGAAAGCCGCUACGUAGAAAUACAACUUUGUUGGUCACAACAGAGCCCCAGGUCUCCUCAAUCAUCCAGCCUGACCUGAUCCCGAUUAAUGAAAAGAUCAGGCUGAUGUGCAAUAUAAAUGGAUUUAGACCCAAAACAAUCCAGGUGAAAUGGUACCGGAGAAACCCACACAGGAUGGUGUCGGCAGCAGACCAUGAAAAGGAAGAUGCAGCCCUUUGUGAGGCUGGAGAAGAUGUUACCAGUAUGGCUAAGCAGCCUCUGGAAGCCAAUGGCAGAUUCUACAGCAUCUCCUCCUGCCUGAGCUACAUGCCUACAAUAAAGGACGAUAGGGUGGAAUUUGAAUGCAACAUCCAGCACAGCACACUCAAGAAUCCAAUACGGAGGACCACAAUUAUUCAUGUUACUGCUCGACCAGCAAGUCAUUACAUCUUCAGCUCACCCCAGGUUCCCAUACAGGGGGAUAAGCUUAUUCUGAUCUGUGUUGUGGAGAAAUUUUAUCCAAAGGACAUCACUCUGGAUUGGUUUCGAAAUGGGCAGCCAAUUGAAGAAGUGACACAGUUUGGGCCUUUCCCUUGUGAAAGUGAUUUUUACAGUAUAUGGAGCCAGACUGAGUUUAUCCUGACCAGAGAUGAGGAAGGAGCAAUUUAUACCUGUCGGAUCAAGCACAGCAGCUUUGGAAAUGUCGAAGAACUCUCCUAUGAAAUAAAUUUGCAAGGAACCCCCCCAGAAGUCCUCUGGAUCACUCCAGACCCUCCAGUUCCUGUUGCAGGAGAGGAGCUGAGGCUAAGCUGCCGAAUCAAUAACUUCUCCCCUAGCGUGAUCAGGGUGAAUUGGUUCCAAGAUUGGAAGCCGCUGCAUGUGGGAAUCUGCCACUCAGUCUCCGUAGUUGGCGCCAAUGGCUUGCACUCCAUGUGGAGCCUUCUGAGAGUGACACCUGCGCAGGGGGCGGGGAAAACUGUGUUUACGUGCAAGGUGGAACACGACGCACUGAGUGGAUGUGUCGAAAGAGCGUACAUUUUGCAGAUGCCUGGUUGAACCGUUUUCAUGAAAAAGAAGGGAAAACUGCACCGAAGCAAACAAAAGGGAGAUUAGCAAAGAAACUAUGAGUGGACUGGAUUUCAAGGCAUGAACAGAAGGAUAAAAGCAGUAAAAGGAAAUAAUAUGCUGUCUGCAACCACUAGAUGUCGCUUUUCACCCUCUACAACUGUUGGGCGUUUUGAAUUCCCCUUUAUAUUUUGGCCAGAUAAUUCCAGAUAUUUGUGGUUUAGUUUAUUACAUGUGAAAUCUCACACUCUGGGCCAUGUGGAACCAGUCUGGAUAGUUUGCCUGGUGAAGAUCUGACAUUUUCUUCCCCAAACAGUUUUUAAUUUAGUUUCAUAGAAUCAUAGAAUCAUAAAUCAUAGAGUUGGAAGAGACCACAAGGGCCAUCCAGUCCAACCCCCUGCCAAGCAGGAAACACCAUUUCUAUUGAAUUGAGGCUGCAUUUUAAUGUUGUAUUUAAUUUUGUUCCUAAGCUGUAUUUUUAUCAAUUGUUUUAUAUCCGGUGUUAGCCGCCCUGAGACCAGUCUUGGGUGGGGAGGGCAGGGCAUAAAUAAAUUUAUCAUCAUCAUCAACCCCGCAAGAUAGUUCAUGGCCAAGAUAACUAGCAAACAGCCAUUUAGAAAUUAUCAGAAAAAUAUUUCCCAGAGAACAUAGGAGAGUGUCCUGUUAGCUCAGUGGUACGGUAGUGCCUGUCCAUUAGGGUGUGUUUAAUUUUUCCCAAAAUGAGGGUUGCUAAAAAGUUGUAACAUGACUUGGGAAUGCAAAAGAUAUUUUGGAUAAAUUAAUAUAAUUUAGUUUUGAAUGUAGGUCAUUUUUUGUGUCAAAUUGCAUAGAAAUUAUUAAAAAAGGAUUGCUAAGUACUUCCAGUUAUAUUAUACAUUUUCAUUUGUCUGGAAGAGUGUCCCAUUGGGAGUCAAACCAUCAAAGAGUUACAGUGCCUAUUGUAGCUGUAGAGACCAAGACAGGAGAGACAACUUAGCAUAUUACCUGACAUUUUCAGAAGGCAAAAUCAAAAUCCUUUGGGCUUCUCAAAGCAGCUUAUGUACUUUUUCAUCAAACGUAGACUUACAAAGCUAAAUGUUGUCCAGUCAGAAAAAACAACUGCAGAUUUGAAUUCCUCACGCCCAAAAAUGUGUGUUUUUUUACGAUCCCUCACUGAAGAAAUUUGCAAAAAUUAGGUUUCAGCCCCUAAAAUGACAUGCCUUGCUGCCCAUUCUCACAACCCCAGGAAGCAAUAUAGUUCUGAACACCAUUUGCUGGGAAACAGCUUCUGCUUGUGGGCUUCUUGUAGACAUUGGGUUGGCCACAGUGAAAACAGGAGGCUGGACCAGAUGGGCCAUUGGCCUGAUCCAGCAGAGCUUUUCUUAUGUCCUUAAUCUUUGAUCCCAAGUUCAGUGCCUAGGACUCAAGACUUGCAACCCUAACCCCACUGACCUGGGAGUAAGCCCCCUUGAAUUAAUAUGAUUUACUUCUGGUGGCGCUGUGGGUUAAACCACAGAGUCUAGGGCUUGCUGAUCAGAAGGUCGGCGGUUCGAAUCCCUGCAACGGGGUGAGCUCCCGUUGCUCAGUCCCAGCUCCUGCCCACCUAGCAGUUCGAAAGCACAUCAAAGUGUGAGUAGAUAAAUAGGGACCGCUCCGGCGGGAAGGUAAACAGUGUUUCCGUGUGCUGCUCUGGUUCGCCAGAAGCAGCUUUGUUAUGCUGGCCACAUGACCCGGAAGCUGUCUGCGGACAAACGCUGGCUCCCUCGGCCUAUAGAGCGAGAUGAGUGCCGCAACCCCAGAGUCGGACACAACUGGACCUGAUGGUCAGGGGCCCCUUUACCUUUACCUAGACAUGGUUAGGAACAUGUUGUUAGGUAGUAAGUCGUGGCAAAGAUCUACUGACUGAGAUAAGACAACUCAUCUAACUUUAACAAUUCCUUCAGUGCUGUUACUUUCCUCUUCCAUUUGUGGUUCCAUAAAGAAUGGGGUUUCAGCAGGUGACAUUUUUCAGACACUUACAGCCGUGAAUAAUAUGUCAAGGUGCAAAUGCUAAAAUUCUCGCCUCGAUGCAGUUAUUGAAGAUAUAGAGCCCUACCUCUAAAAGGAUAUUUGCCCAUUCUGCACUGAAGGUCCCAGCCGUGCUGAGAGAUAGGUCUGCUUUUAUAAUGGGCCAACUAAAGAUUCCAGUGACUUCAGCUGUCAAUCAGCUGAUUACAAGUCAGCCUUGUAAGGAAUGACAAUAAAGCUGUUGCAGGAAGAAAUAUAUUUAUGAGCAAGAUCGGAAUGGCAAAAGCAGUAGGGAGUGAGGGAUGUGUGUUGAGGUUGCUGGUUUGAAGUGUGUAUAUUUUGGAAGCAGGAUUUGCUGUCUCAACUGUGCUGAUCUUGUCAUAAUAAUAUUAAUAAAAACAUAGUGGUGAAGGCUUUUUCUUUUGUUUUUAAAACUGGCAUUCCAAAUGGAAAUUUCCAUGCAGAAAUAUGUUUGUUGUGAAAGGGAUUAUUUACAUGCCCUAAAAGAGGAAGAGAAAGAAUUAGAUACUAGUUUUAUGAUGUGAAAAUCCCUAUCAAUAUUAGUAUCAUAAUUUAAAUACCUCUGAUGUG